AUGCCAGCCGCCCGCUCCCCCUCCCCCCACCCCACCCAUUCGUUCCAGGAGUUACAGAACAGGUUGGAUAGGAAAAAGCAGCGGAAGAUCAAGGAUUGGGCCAAGCAUCACAGCAAGUAUGUCGUGCAGUUCGCUCUUAGUGUGGAGCAAGCAAGGGCUGGAAAACGAGCCCAGCUUUGUGAGCAUUGCCCGAUCGCGUUCAACAACUAUCUCACAUGGUUUCUUGCAAGUACCCGCGUGGAGGUAUGCAAGCCGGCGUAUGCUGAGGAGAUUCUGGAAGAACCCACCAUUUUUUAUGAGAUCAAGAAAGCAGCUGAUGAGACCGAGACUAUUCUAGAAACAACCCCGGCUGGCAAAAGCGAUGGGGAAGGUACACUUCGAGCAUUCAUGAAGGGCCAAAAGUUAAGGCGGCUAUCAAACCUUUUCGGUUGUCGUGACCCCGAGUAUGUAUCACCAGAACGGUCUAGGUCGACGACACCAUCAGAUCCCGCUUCGGGGCAGGGCCAUGGUGAACCUUUCGAGGAUGAGGAUGUGGGUGUGGUCACCCAAGAGGUUGCUGAUGAUAUGACCGUGGGGACGUACCAGGCUCGGUCUGCAUACGAGUUGAAGCCUAGGAAGGGAAUCAACAAGUACACACCUAAAGACUUCACCCAAAGAGGCAAAAGGACGGUCGGCACCUCGCGGAUGGCGGCUUUGGAUGACUAUUCGGAUGACUAUGUAGAUGACGUGGAGGAACCGGAGCCGGAGCCGGAGCGGGUUCCUCUUCCUAGGAAGGUGAAGAAGAUAAGUGUCAAGAGGGGGGAGGAGCCAGCAAGCGCGGAAAGCACUAGUCAUCGUCCUUUAUUUAUAAUGUUGAACUUAGAGUGGAAUUUGUUAUGUCGUUGA
rnacentral:rRNA from 1 species